GACGAACGCUGGCGGCGUGCUUCACACAUGCAAGUCGAACGGUGAAGCCCCUUCGGGGGUGGAUCAGUGGCGAACGGGUGAGUAACACGUGGGCAACCUGCCCCUGACUCUGGGAUAACCCCGGGAAACCGGAGCUAAUACCGGAUACGACCUCUGACCACAUGGUCGGGAGGUGGAAAGUUUUUCGGUCAGGGAUGGGCCCGCGGCCUAUCAGCUUGUUGGCGGGGUAACGGCCCACCAAGGCGACGACGGGUAGCCGGCCUGAGAGGGCGACCGG
rnacentral:rRNA from 1 species